AUUAUAAUGAAUUAUUAUUAAUAGCAUAUAAAAUGUAGAUAAUACCGGAUUAGGGCCGGGAGGAUAGGCAUCUCGUUUGGGUCGGGAAUCAGUUAUGUUCGAAUCAUAAUAAUCCGAAUUUUAGAACUAUUAGAAAUAUAGUAGUUAACCACACGUAUCAAUUUAGAUACGGAGUUCAAUAUAUUUUGGUAAAAAGUAGGUAGAGUACCAAAAUAAGAGCUUAGGUUACAAAAAUAAAUGAUAUAUAACUAUUACUUAUAAAUAUAUAAGUAUAUAAAGAAACUAUUAUGGAAUUUAAGCUAUGUAUUAAAGAGAAUUAUUUAUAUAUAUAGGACAUUUAUCCUAUAAUUAUAUGAACUCUAAGAGAAAUUUUGUAAUAAACGAAGUGAAUUGAAAUAUCUUAGUAACUUUAGGAAAAUAAAUCAAAAGAGAUUCUAUGAAUAGCGUGAGCGAAAGUAGAAAAGCCUAACAAGUAAAACGGUUUAAAACUGUUUAAAUAUUAUGGGGAACCUUCCUCAAAGGCUAAAUAUGAUACAUAAGCGAUAGUGAAAAGUACCAUGAGGGAAAUAAAAUAAAAAUAGUAGUUUUAUAAGCAGUUCGAAAUAAAGAACGUACCUUUUGCAUAAUGGGUCACCAAGUUAACGUUAGAUGCGAGAUAAUACGUAGUUAAACCGAACGUUAAAAUAACGAUAUAGUGUCUAAAGUUAGACCCGAAGCCUGGUGAUUUUACCAUAGUCAGGAUUAUAAAAGUCCGAACCGGUGAUUGUAGCAAAAAUCUCGGAAGAACUGUGGUAGGUGUAGUGAAAGACAACACUGACUAGGAUAGCUGGUUUUCUGCGAAACCUAUAAUAGUAGGCAGUUUAAGUAAAUAUCUUAGCAGGUACAGAAUUUAAUCUCAGACAAGACAUUUUUAAUGUUUUAUUUUGUACAAAUUGGGGGAUCAUGAAGAUUUUAUCAGUGAGUAUGUAGACUCGGAAUGGCAAAGAUAUAUCUUAAACUAUCAGACAUAGAAUGAUAAGGUUGUAUGUCGAAAGGGAAACAGCCCAGAACAAGAGUUAAGGUUCCUAAAUUAUUUGUUAAGUGAAAAUAAGAAGGUUUUUAUUUAAGUCGACAAGGAGAUAGGCUUAGAAGCAGCCAUAAUUUUAUGACCUCGUAACAGAGCGCUUGUUAAAUUAUAAAAGCGUCGAAAAUAUAACGGAUCUAAACAAUAUACCGAAACCUUGUCCAUAAUAUAUUAUAAUAAAUAUGUUUAUUAUAAUUAAAUGGGGUAGCAGAACGUUGAGCUAAAAUAUGAGUUUUAUUUUUUAAAUAAAAUUAUAGUAAUUUAACUCAAGUGAGAAUGGUGACAUGAGUAACUAAAAGAAAAUUUUCCGCCUUAAGCUUAUGGAUGUAAUUAAGUAACGGCCUCUAAGUUUAUAUAAUCUAAAGAUUUAAACGAUGAGAAAAUCUUUAUUACUAAAAACAACAUUUUAGUGUAAAAUGUGCUGGAAAAAUAGUAAUAUAUUUGUUAUCAAAUAACAAAUAAAAUAACCGUACCUAGAAUCUGAAACAAGUAAGCUAGUAGAGAAUACGAAGGCGUAAAUGAGCUAACAAUCAUAAAGGAACUCGGCAAAUUGACUACCGUAACUUCGGAAUAAGGAGGGCUCAUUAUUCUUGAUGAAUAUCAAGUAAAGAGGAAGAAGCAUGAAAUAAUGUUGUACGACUGUUUAAUUAAAACACAGCACUUUGCUGAAAGAUUAAAAAUCUAAGUAUAAAGUGUGAUAUCUGCCCGGUGCCGGCUGGUUAACAGAUAUAAUUGAAUAUAUUAAUAUUUGAUGUAGACGGAAACCCCGGUUAAAGGCGGCCUUAACGUGAGGGUCCUAAGGUAGCGAAAUGCCUUGGCCGUUAAAUGCGGUCUUGCAUGAAUGGUGUAACGAUACAACAGCUGUCUCUAUGAUUGACUCAGUGAAAUUGGAAUAGCUGUGCAGAUACAGCUUACCUCUAGUUAGACGAGAAGACCCUAUGCAGCUUUACUGUCACUAAUUAUAGAGUAUGAUAAACGAUUUUCAGAAUAUAAGGUAAUUGACAAAUAUGACAAUGAGAAACCUUUAUUCUUUUUUCAUAUGAAUGAAUUGGUUUAGGAUUAUGAGUAAUUAAUUAAUUUUAUGGUUACAUAAAAUUAUAUAGCUCAUUUUAGUAGAUCAACCUAAUUCAACUUAUUUAUUUUUAAAAUAAGUAAGUACCCUUUGGUAAGGAACUAUCGCUAGGGGACAGUUUAUGUGGGGCACAGACCCUGUAAAGAGUAAACAGGAGUGUCUAAAAAUUUAUAAUUAUUUUGUUUGCUAUUUUGAGUAGUUUAACUAUUUUUAAUCAUAUAAAAUUAAAUAUAUUUGCAUUUUAUGUAUAUAUAUUUAAGAUUAGGUAAGAUUUUCACUAUAUAGAAAUUAGAGAUAAUUGAAAGUAUUAUGAAGGCGCAAGCUCUUCUAAUAUUUUCUAGCUAUUAUUUAUAAUAGUUAUGUGUUUAAUAUCUAAAAAGCUCAACGGCUAAAUCUUGCCUUACUGUUUGAUUAUCGACAAAUCUUACAGUUGCGUAAGCAGGGCAUAGGAUCACAAGAUGCCACAAGGAAAGAUCUUGGAUUAUUGGAAAAGCUACGCUAGGGAUGUUUGUCCUUUAAUAUUUUAUUUAUAAAUAAAAUUAUUAAUAUAAAUUGGGUAAAUUUCAAGAAUUACUAAUAAUAAUAGUAAACUUGAAGCGAAGUUU
rnacentral:rRNA from 1 species